CAUAGGUUAAUGAGGCGAACCGGGGGAACUGAAACAUCUAAGUACCCCGAGGAAAAGAAAUCAACCGAGAUUCCCCCAGUAGCGGCGAGCGAACGGGGAGCAGCCCAGAGCCUGAAUCAGUGUGUGUGUUAGUGGAAGCGUCUGGAAAGGCGCGCGAUACAGGGUGACAGCCCCGUACACAAAAAUGCACAUGCUGUGAGCUCGAUGAGUAGGGCGGGACACGUGGUAUCCUGUCUGAAUAUGGGGGGACCAUCCUCCAAGGCUAAAUACUCCUGACUGACCGAUAGUGAACCAGUACCGUGAGGGAAAGGCGAAAAGAACCCCGGCGAGGGGAGUGAAAAAGAACCUGAAACCGUGUACGUACAAGCAGUGGGAGCACGCUUCGGCGUGUGACUGCGUACCUUUUGUAUAAUGGGUCAGCGACUUAUAUUCUGUAGCAAGGUUAACCGAAUAGGGGAGCCGAAGGGAAACCGAGUCUUAACUGGGCGUUAAGUUGCAGGGUAUAGACCCGAAACCCGGUGAUCUAGCCAUGGGCAGGUUGAAGGUUGGGUAACACUAACUGGAGGACCGAACCGACUAAUGUUGAAAAAUUAGCGGAUGACUUGUGGCUGGGGGUGAAAGGCCAAUCAAACCGGGAGAUAGCUGGUUCUCCCCGAAAGCUAUUUAGGUAGCGCCUCGUGAAUUCAUCUCCGGGGGUAGAGCACUGUUUCGGCAAGGGGGUCAUCCCGACUUACCAACCCGAUGCAAACUGCGAAUACCGGAGAAUGUUAUCACGGGAGACACACGGCGGGUGCUAACGUCCGUCGUGAAGAGGGAAACAACCCAGACCGCCAGCUAAGGUCCCAAAGUCAUGGUUAAGUGGGAAACGAUGUGGGAAGGCCCAGACAGCCAGGAUGUUGGCUUAGAAGCAGCCAUCAUUUAAAGAAAGCGUAAUAGCUCACUGGUCGAGUCGGCCUGCGCGGAAGAUGUAACGGGGCUAAACCAUGCACCGAAGCUGCGGCAGCGACGCUUAUGCGUUGUUGGGUAGGGGAGCGUUCUGUAAGCCUGUGAAGGUGUGCUGUGAGGCAUGCUGGAGGUAUCAGAAGUGCGAAUGCUGACAUAAGUAACGAUAAAGCGGGUGAAAAGCCCGCUCGCCGGAAGACCAAGGGUUCCUGUCCAACGUU
rnacentral:rRNA from 1 species